CGAAAAAUACACAAUAUAAUUAUAAUAAAUAUUAUUUUUACGUCGUUAAUUAAAGGAAAACUUUUUUCCUAUUUGCUACGAAAACAAAAAGCAAAGCAAAAAAAGAUUGCAGCCGUCCUAUAAAAUUUCUGAACUAAAUAAUAUUCAAUAAUAUAACACACUUCGAAAUUAUAUUUAAUCAAAAAUACAGAAACAAUUUACGGAUUAUCUUCAACGCGAUUUGGAUUAAUAAGUUAAAUAACAAAGAAAAAAAUUACGAUGCCAUUCAUUUCAAAAGAUUGGCGUUCACCAGGUGAAGCGUGGGUCAAAACCGACGAGGGAUGGGAAAGGCUUAAAGUACUGGAGUGUGGUAAAAGAAAAAGAAAUACACGCAAACUAUGGACCACAAAGGAAACGAAGUGUUUUCUAGAGUGCUACUUGACACGAACAUUCAUAACAUUUAAAAAAUUCGUGAAAUAACUUGCAUCCCUCGGCCGCUGCAAAACGUUGCUUUCUUCUCCCAACAUCGUCAGUACCUACAAAAAUUUACUUAUCUUAGUGUUUUAUUUUUAAAUU